AACGAACGCUGGCGGCAUGCCUAACACAUGCAAGUCGAACGCUUUUGGGGCUUCGGCCCCAAGGGAGUGGCGCACGGGUGAGUAGCGCGUGGGAACCUGCCCUGUUGUGGGGGAUAACCGAGGGAAACUUCGGCUAAUACCGCAUAAGCCGGUUGUCUUGAGAGAGAUGGCCGGGAAAGAUUUAUCGCGACAGGAGGGGCCCGCGUCGGAUUAGCUAGUUGGUGGGGUAACGGCCCACCAAGGCUCCGAUCCGUAGCUGGUCUGAGAGGAUGAUCAGCCACACUGGGACUGAGACACGGCCCAGACUCCUACGGGAGGCAGCAGUGGGGAAUAUUGGACAAUGGGCGCAAGCCUGAUCCAGCAAUGCCGCGUGAGUGAUGAAGGCCUUAGGGUUGUUAAAGGCUCUUUCGCCCGCGACGAUGAUGACGGUAGCGGGAGAAGAAGCCCGGCUAACUUCGUGCCAGCAGCCGCGGUAAU
rnacentral:rRNA from 1 species